AGCUGUACCGGCUGUACCAUCUUACAUUCCCACAAGCAAUGCAAGAGAGUUCUAGUCGCUCUGCAUCUUUGCCAGGACUUAGUUAUAUCCAUUUUUGUUCCAUUUGCCUGGGUUUUUUUUUUGGGGGGGGGGGGGGGUUAGCCAUUUUAAUAGGUAUGUAGUAGCAUCUCACUGUAUUUUUCUUUUAACUUUUGAUUUUGUUAUAAUUUUACACUCACAUAGAAGCUGCAAAAAUAGUAGAAAGUUCUCAUGUAUUCUUCACCCAAGUUUCCUUUAUCUUACACAACCACAAUACAAUUACCAAAAGUAGGAAUUUGACAUCGGUGCAAUACUAUUUAUUAACUAAACUACAGACCUUGUCAGAUUUCAUUAGUUUUUACACGUACUUUUCUUGGUUUUUUUUGCAUACAGUUCUGUAAAAUUUUAUCACAUGUAUAGAUUCAUAUAAAUACUACCACAAUCAGGAUAUAGAUCUGUUCCAUAAAAGCACAUUAUAUUUUGAAAAGACCUUCUUGGUUUUACAAAUAUCACCUGCUGGAAGGACUUUGGCAAAUGUUAACUUUCUUCUGCCAUUUUCCCUUGACCAAAUUAAAACUCAGUUAUCUAUUCGCAAGCUGCUAUGUGCGAACCACUGCUGACAGAAGAGUUCACUUUUCAGGAUGGGUGUCUGUCCUGUUCAUUCUUUACUUAUUAUAUGCCAAGCCCAGUGUAGGCAGUAUGGAUAAAAUGGUGAAAAGGAGAGCAGUAGUUCCUGUCUUUAAAAGAACUUCGAGUGGAGAGAGAUUCACAUACAUAAUUACAAACUGUGGCAAGUACUAUCCAUGAAUGAAAAGUAAAAGAUACACUGAAAAUUAAAACACGAUCUGGUUUAGACUGGGAGGUUCUUGCCAUCUAGCCUCAUCCUCAGACUCAGUAUUUGGGGCCUUCCUACAGGAACAGGGCAUCCAAGCACCUGAGCCAUUGAGCAACAAGUAUAUGUGUAACCAACAAAUUCUUAAAGCAGAAGAAUACAAGCAAGGAAGCCCUCCAGGGCUUAGGAACUGCACCAAGGACUGCUUAUCUUCUCCUUAGGUCAAAGCCUGGCCCCAAAGAUAAACAGAACUGGUAUGUUUAUCCCAUGUGUUACCUAAGGGAUACCCACAGCCCCCAAAAUUUCUUCCAAAUCACCUGCCACAGUGAGUCAAAUUCCACCUUUAGAGAUCCUUUAGUUAUAGAGGUAUCCCUCUGCUAUAGACUAAUCACAAUGAAAUCCCUUCAGGAAGCGGGGACAUAGUAACCCAUCUCCGGCUCCUGGGUGAUGGCUGGUACAAGCCUCUCCUCCUGUCUGAGGGGCUCACACUUACACAUCUUCCAAGGCAGAGGUGCUCCCUCUUCCCUUGUGUCCUCCUCACCCUAGCCUGUAUGUAUUUUUAUUAUUAGUAAUCUCUAAUGCUGUUUGUUCCCAUAUUUCUCUCCCCUUUCUAUACCAAUAGCCCCAACAGUCGGAUUCAUCUCUGUAUCUCCUGGCAUCUGCACCUUAGGUCCCACCCAGGCACACAGUAAGAGGUCCAUAAAUGUUCUGUGAAUAUUCAAGGCACAGCCAACAGAUUACAAUAUGUGAAGGAGGACUUUGAGGGAAUGGACCGAGACAGUUGGGUCUCAAUAGGAAAGACACCAAUAGGAUGCACGAGACAGUUGGUCCAUUUCAAGAAUCAUACCACAGAGUAGCUAAAUAUAACAGUAGGAUGCUUGGGCACCUGAAAGGCCGGGGGCAGGACAGAAGAAGAUACGUGAGGGAGUAAGAAACAAGACUUGCCCACACACGAUAAAGCUCGAGACCAGAACAGCUUGGCUCCUGCCAAGAAAAUGGCAGAUAUAGUCUGAGGUGGAGAGGAGGAAGGGAAAAGGCAGGCUCUGUCUCCAUGACUUCAUUUCUAAAACCAUUUGUGAAGAGCUCGGCUGGGGGAGAUGAGGAGCUCAAAAAGAAGUAAGCAUUUCCAACAGCUACCGUGGGAGUCACGUAGGAAAUCAGUAAGAAAUGAGAGAGAGAGUAAAAAAUUCCAAAAAACAGCUAGUUCAUUGUACAUACUUCUGCCUCUUCCCAGAGAGACCCUAGUUUUUCCUAGACUGUCACACACAUCUUCCAAAACACUCUGGGGCCCUCUCUGCAUGAAGCAAUGACCUGUGUUUGAAGGCCUGUGCAGGCUGGCUACAAUCCUGAAAUGUCUCCUGAACCAGCUAAUGGAAGGCCCCAGGCCUGCUAAAGAGCCCAUGAAAAAAAUGAGACACUGCUCUUGUCCCUGCAUCAGUUGAGUCUCUUACACAUAGAAACUGUUUACAUUUAGUGAUUAGUAAACAUUGGAACUCCCAAAUCAAAACACUAAUUGUUUUACACUCUUAAAACAAUUGCUUCACAGUUAUUUUAAAGUAUCAGAAAAUUAUUCCAGCCCAUGUUCCCCAAACCACUAGCUGCUGCAAUAAGUCACUACAUGGGUUUUAACCAAGACUUCCUCUUAACCAGCACCUUGACCUUUGCCACACCCCGCAGUUGACCAGGGUGGUAUGUGGACAUAAAAGUAAACUCCUCAAAAAGGAGAGAGGAGAGCACUGCAGCCAGCCUCCCCUACUGGAACACCUAGCCAAUCUCAGGGACAGCCAGCUCGGACAGCCACCAGGUCAUGAUCUGAAAUAUAUUCAAAAACUAACAGAGACACCCAUCAGUUUCACUUACAGUUUUCCUAUUAUGCACAUAUACGGGUAAUAAACGCUACCAUUAUGAUGCUAGUUGCUAAAGACACCGAGCUCCUCAGAUGCAAGGUGAUAAGUAGCCACACAUCUCUGGUCCCACAAGUUCAAGUUACAACAAACUGUUUCUUCUUUCUCUCUUUUAACCCAAGUUUCAACCAAGAAGGACCCUGCUUCCUGGUAACACAGCACACCACAAGGUGAAACAGAAACUGGCAACUGCAAGAUGGUUUCUGGUGGCCCAGAGGGGUCUGGGAAAAAGCAAACUCUCCAGGUGAAGUUUCUGGAAUGCUCAGCUAACCAAACCAUUUGGAAAGCAAAAACUGGCAAUAGUACCUGAACUGACAGUCAACAACAACCCAAGAAUCUGAGGACACAGAAUGGAUGUCAUCUGAUGAAAAGAGAGCAACUUCUUUGCUUCUGCUGAACUCAGAAAAGUUUAACUUUUUAUCCUCUGAGUAAAAACCUUGGUCCGCUUUCUUUCACUGGUGCCAAAGGAGGACUUGACUGACCUUUCGGGCAUGAAGACGGGGUCCACAGAGCUGAAGGAAGGAAGCUUAUGGGUCACGAUGAGCCUCAGAGGUAGCCAGACCUCCAGUCAACCUCCCAGGGGUCUGGUUUUGUUUGAGUUGCACUGCCAAUGCUUUGUUCACGUCAACAAACGACACACUGACCCGAGUUAUCAUUACUGCACUUCUACAGAUUUUCCACAUUUAUCACUGACUGGCCACGUCUUUACAAGAUGAGCAUUCUUAUCAGAAGACUAAAUAAUUUUUAUUGAAAAUAUCUCUUAUCUAUAUUAUCUGUCUAUAUUCCUGAGCUCCUAAGUUUGGAGUCCUACAAUGGAGUUUAAGAAAUCAAAAGUCUUAACUCAGAGUAAUCUCCGCAGACUUAAAGAGAGUCACUUUUGUGUCUCAGUCCCAACAGACUCGCAGCAGCCACAGAAGGUAGCAGGGGCCCUUCAAAGCAUCAGCUCCCAGCCUGAGUCCACCCUCUCUGACUUUCCAGUGGCCCAAGCCACUGAUAACUCAGUAUCUCCAGGCCCAAGGGGGAUCAGUAGGAAUCACCACUGGCUCACAGGCCCCUCUGCCCUCUAAAACCCCUCCCUCCAGCGUGGGAGGGCAGUUAGCUGCCAGAUGUACAGCCAGGGACCCUUCACCGGCAGAGUAUACUAGCAGCCUGCCUAUCCCGUUCUUUCCAAGAGGAAAUGGGUUGGAAAUCCUGUACACUCAUUCUUUUAUUAAUAAAACUUUUGGGGGACGAGGGCUCUAUAUACUAAUAUAUACUCACUGAAGGGAAAUUAGAAGAGAGGGGACAAGGCACUAACAUUAUUACGAAUUUCUUGCCAACCUUUCUCAUUUGAGAUGUUUUUUAACAAAAACAGAAUCCUAGACUAUACCAGUCUUCAUAGGUUGCAUAACACCAGCCUAGACAGACACCUCUUAUUAUGUAACUCAGGCCUCACUUUACAGUAUCUCCUGAAUCGUAUGUCCCACGUGGUUGGAGAAAAUUCCCUAUUUCUCUGACAGCCUCACUCA